rnacentral:rRNA from 1 species
GACGAACGCUGGCGGCGUGCUUAACACAUGCAAGUCGAACGGAAAGGCCCUGCUUUUGUGGGGUGCUCGAGUGGCGAACGGGUGAGUAACACGUGAGUAACCUGCCCUUGACUUUGGGAUAACCUCAGGAAACUGGGGCUAAUACCGGAUAGGAGCUCCUGCUGCAUGGUGGGGGUUGGAAAGUUUCGGCGGUUGGGGAUGGACUCGCGGCUUAUCAGCUUGUUGGUGGGGUAGUGGCUUACCAAGGCUUUGACGGGUAGCCGGCCUGAGAGGGUGACCGGCCACAUUGGGACUGAGAUACGGCCCAGACUCCUACGGGAGGCAGCAGUGGGGAAUAUUGCACAAUGGGCGGAAGCCUGAUGCAGCAACGCCGCGUGCGGGAUGACGGCCUUCGGGUUGUAAACCGCUUUCGCCUGUGACGAAGCGUGAGUGACGGUAAUGGGUAAAGAAGCACCGGCUAACUACGUGCCAGCAGCCGCGGUGAUACGUAGGGUGCGAGCGUUGUCCGGAUUUAUUGGGCGUAAAGGGCUCGUAGGUGGUUGAUCGCGUCGGAAGUGUAAUCUUGGGGCUUAACCCUGAGCGUGCUUUCGAUACGGGUUGACUUGAGGAAGGUAGGGGAGAAUGGAAUUCCUGGUGGAGCGGUGGAAUGCGCAGAUAUCAGGAGGAACACCAGUGGCGAAGGCGGUUCUCUGGGCCUUUCCUGACGCUGAGGAGCGAAAGCGUGGGGAGCGAACAGGCUUAGAUACCCUGGUAGUCCACGCUGUAAACGGUGGGUACUAGGUGUGGGGUCCAUUCCACGGGUUCCGUGCCGUAGCUAACGCUUUAAGUACCCCGCCUGGGGAGUACGGCCGCAAGGCUAAAACUCAAAGGAAUUGACGGGGCCCCGCACAAGCGGCGGAGCAUGCGGAUUAAUUCGAUGCAACGCGUAGAACCUUACCUGGGUUUGACAUGGAUCGGGAGUGCUCAGAGAUGGGUGUGCCUCUUUUGGGGUCGGUUCACAGGUGGUGCAUGGCUGUCGUCAGCUCGUGUCGUGAGAUGUUGGGUUAAGUCCCGCAACGAGCGCAACCCUUGUUCACUGUUGCCAGCACGUUAUGGUGGGGACUCAGUGGAGACCGCCGGGGUCAACUCGGAGGAAGGUGGGGAUGACGUCAAGUCAUCAUGCCCCUUAUGUCCAGGGCUUCACGCAUGCUACAAUGGCUGGUACAGAGAGUGGCGAGCCUGUGAGGGUGAGCGAAUCUCGGAAAGCCGGUCUCAGUUCGGAUUGGGGUCUGCAACUCGACCUCAUGAAGUCGGAGUCGCUAGUAGUCGCAGAUCAGCAACGCUGCGGUGAAUACGUUCCCGGGGCU